rnacentral:rRNA from 1 species
UACGGAGGGUGCAAGCGUUAUCCGGAUUCACUGGGUUUAAAGGGAGCGUAGGUGGGCUGGUAAGUCAGUGGUGAAAUCUCCGGGCUUAACUCGGAAACUGCCGUUGAUACUAUCAGUCUUGAAUAUUGUGGAGGUAAGCGGAAUAUGUCAUGUAGCGGUGAAAUGCUUAGAUAUGACAUAGAACACCGAUAGCGAAGGCAGCUUGCUACACAAUUAUUGACACUGAGGCUCGAAAGCGUGGGGAUCAAGCAGG